rnacentral:rRNA from 1 species
CAGGCUUAACACAUGCAAGUCGAGGGGCAGCAUGGUCUUAGCUUGCUAAGGCCGAUGGCGACCGGCGCACGGGUGAGUAACGCGUAUCCAACCUGCCUUACACUCUUGGACAGCCUUCUGAAAGGGAGAUUAAUACAAGAUGUUAUCAUGAGUAAGCAUUUUCGCAUGAUUAAAGGUUUACCGGUGUAAGAUGGGGAUGCGUUCCAUUAGAUAGUAGGCGGGGUAACGGCCCACCUAGUCUUCGAUGGAUAGGGGUUCUGAGAGGAAGGUCCCCCACAUUGGAACUGAGACACGGUCCAAACUCCUACGGGAGGCAGCAGUGAGGAAUAUUGGUCAAUGGACGAGAGUCUGAACCAGCCAAGUAGCGUGAAGGAUGAAGGUUCUAUGGAUUGUAAACUUCUUUUAUACGGGAAUAAACGGAUCCACGUGUGGAUUUUUGCAUGUACCGUAUGAAUAAGGAUCGGCUAACUCCGUGCCAGCAGCCGCGGUAAUACGGAGGAUCCGAGCGUUAUCCGGAUUUAUUGGGUUUAAAGGGAGCGUAGAUGGGUUGUUAAGUCAGUUGUGAAAGUUUGCGGCUCAACCGUAAGAUUGCAAUUGAUACUGGCAGUCUUGAGUACAGUUGAGGUAGGCGGAAUUCGUGGUGUAGCGGUGAAAUGCUUAGAUAUCACGAAGAACUCCGAUUGCGAAGGCAGCUUACUAACCUGUAACUGACAUUGAUGCUCGAAAGUGUGGGUAUCAAACAGGAUUAGAUACCCUGGUAGUCCACACGGUAAACGAUGAAUACUCGCUGUAGGCGAUAUACAGUCUGCGGCCAAGCGAAAGCAUUAAGUAUUCCACCUGGGGAGUACGCCGGCAACGGUGAAACUCAAAGGAAUUGACGGGGGCCCGCACAAGCGGAGGAACAUGUGGUUUAAUUCGAUGAUACGCGAGGAACCUUACCCGGGCUUAAAUUGCAACCGAAUAUGGCGGAAACGCUAUAGCUAGCAAUAGCGGUUGUGAAGGUGCUGCAUGGUUGUCGUCAGCUCGUGCCGUGAGGUGUCGGCUUAAGUGCCAUAACGAGCGCAACCCUUGCCGAUAGUUACUAACAGGUUAUGCUGAGGACUCUGUCGGGACUGCCAUCGUAAGAUGUGAGGAAGGUGGGGAUGACGUCAAAUCAGCACGGCCCUUACGUCCGGGGCUACACACGUGUUACAAUGGGGGGUACAGAGGGCUGCUACCACGCAAGUGGAUGCCAAUCCCAAAAACCUCUCUCAGUUCGGAUUGAAGUCUGCAACCCGACUUCAUGAAGCUGGAUUCGCUAGUAAUCGCGCAUCAGCCACGGCGCGGUGAAUACGUUCCCGGGCCUUGUACACACCGCCCGUCAAGCCAUGGGAGCCGGGGGUACCUGAAGUGCGUAACCGCAAGGAGCGCCCUAGGGUAAAACUGGUGACUGGG